rnacentral:rRNA from 1 species
UUGGACCUAUAUCAGACAGGACACCAUCAC